rnacentral:rRNA from 1 species
UACAUGGGGUGCAAACAUUGCUCGGAAUUAUUGGGCGUAAAGCGCACGUAGGUGGUCCCUUAAGUCGGAUGUGAAAGCCCUCGGCUCAACUGAGGAAGUGCAUCCGAAACUGAGGGGCUGGAGUAUGGUAGAGGGUCGCGGAAUUCCCGGUGUAGAGGUGAAAUUCGUAGAUAUCGGGAGGAACACCGGUGGCGAAGGCGGCGACCUGGGCCAAUACUGACACUGAGGUGCGAAAGCGUGGGGAGCAAACAGG